rnacentral:rRNA from 1 species
UACGGGGGGGGCAAGCGUUGUUCGGAAUUACUGGGCGUAAAGGGCUCGUAGGCGGCCAACUAAGUCGGAUGUGAAAUCCCCAGGCUCAACCUGGGAACUGCAUCCGAUACUGGAUGGCUUGAAUUCGGGAGAGGGAUGCAGAAUUCCAGGUGUAGCGGUGAAAUGCGUUGAGAUCCACAGGAACUCCGGUGGCGAAGGCGGCCCGCUGGACCCCAUCUGACGCUGAGGCGCGAAAGCCAGGGGAGCGAACGGG